AUUUUUAGCCAAACCACAGCCCCAAACGCAGGAAGACAAUCCUAAGGCCCAAACUCAAAAGACACCAAACGUUCCAAAAAAAACUACAAAUAACCAAUCUGCUACUCCUAGUCCUCCUCCGGUAAACUUUUAGUUAGUUAUGACCGAGUUAUCUGAAUAUUAUUCGGCUGCGUUAUAACUUUUAGUUAGUUAUGGCUGAGUUAUCUGAAUUAUACGGUUGAGUUAUCUGAAUAUUUUACGGCUGAGUUAUCUAAAUAUUUUACGGCUGAGUUAUAAACGCUUGUUAGUUAUGGCUGAGUUGUUUUCAUGUUAUAAAUUUAGUUAGUUAUGGCUGAGUUAUAUGAAUAUUAUACGGCUGAGUUAUAAAUUUAAUUAGUCAUGGCUGAGUUAUAUGAAUAUGAUACGGCUGAGUUUAGUUAGUUAUGGCUGAGGUAUAUGAAUAUGAUAC
rnacentral:sRNA from 1 species